UUACUUCGGUAUGAUUUUUCUAAAGUCGAGUGGCGGACGGGUGAGUAACACGUGGGUAACCUGCCCUUAAGUAGGGGAUAACAUUUGGAAACAGAUGCUAAUACCGUAUAAACCUCGGAAACACAUGUUUCUGAGUUGAAAGGCGGCUUUCGAGCUGUCGCUUUUGGAUGGACCCGCGGCGUAUUAGCUAGUUGGUGAGGUAAAGGCUCACCAAGGCAGUGAUACGUAGCCGACCUGAGAGGGUGAUCGGCCACAUUGGGACUGAGACACGGCCCAAACUCCUACGGGAGGCAGCAGUAGGGAAUCUUCCACAAUGGACGAAAGUCUGAUGGAGCAACGCCGCGUGAGUGAAGAAGGUUUUCGGAUCGUAAAACUCUGUUGUUGGAGAAGAACACGUUUGAGAGUAACUGUUCAGACGUUGACGGUAUCCAACCAGAAAGCCACGGCUAACUACGUGCCAGCAGCCGCGGUAAUACGUAGGUGGCAAGCGUUAUCCGGAUUUAUUGGGCGUAAAGCGAGCGCAGGCGGUUUCUUAAGUCUGAUGUGAAAGCCUUCGGCUUAACCGAAGAAGUGCAUCGGAAACUGGGAAACUUGAGUGCAGAAGAGGACAGUGGAACUCCAUGUGUAGCGGUGAAAUGCGUAGAUAUAUGGAAGAACACCAGUGGCGAAGGCGGCUGUCUGGUCUGUAACUGACGCUGAGGCUCGAAAGCAUGGGUAGCGAACAGGAUUAGAUACCCUGGUAGUCCAUGCCGUAAACGAUGAAUGCUAGGUGUUGGAGGGUUUCCGCCCUUCAGUGCCGCAGCUAACGCAUUAAG
rnacentral:rRNA from 1 species